GAGACCCACGCCAACAGUUGCCAGCAUGUCCUCCGGGAUGAUGGGGACACUGUUGGGACCGCCUCUGCUAAAGAGGAGGAAGGAAUGGGCAACGGUAGGUCAGCAUGCCCCGAAUUAUCCGGGCUACACGCGGGCUACAAUGGUCAGGACAAUGGGUAUCGACACCGAGAGGUGAAGGCAAUCCCCUAAACCUGUCCCUGGUUCGGAUUGUGGGCUGCAACUCGCCCACAUGAAGGUGGAAUCCGUAGUAAUCGCGUCUCAAAAUGGCGCGGUGAAUAU
rnacentral:rRNA from 1 species